rnacentral:rRNA from 1 species
GAUGAACGCUAGCGGCAGGCUUAAUACAUGCAAGUUGAACGGGAUUAGGUUUAGCAAUAGACUUAUGAGAGUGGCGCACGGGUGCGUAACACGUAUGCAACCUGCCCCUGACAGGAGGAUAGCCUAUCGAAAGAGAGAUUAAUAUUCCAUAACAUAUAGAUUAAGCAUUUAGUUUAUAUCAAAGCUCAGGCGGUCAGGGAUGGGCAUGCGGCUGAUUAGGUAGUUGGUGAGGUAACGGCUCACCAAGCCGACGAUCAGUAGGGGGUCUGAGAGGAUGUCCCCCCACACUGGUACUGAGACACGGACCAGACUCCUACGGGAGGCAGCAGUAGGGAAUAUUGGUCAAUGGGGGCAACCCUGAACCAGCCAUGCCGCGUGCAGGAAGACUGCCCUAUGGGUUGUAAACCGCUUUUGUACGGGAAGAAAUCAAUCUACGUGUAGGUUGUUGACGGUACCGUGAGAAUAAGGAUCGGCUAACUUCGUGCCAGCAGCCGCCGCAGUAA